UCCUACGGGAGGCAGCAGUGGGGAAUCUUGCACAAUGGAGGAAACUCUGAUGCAGCGAUGCCGCGUGAGUGAAGAAGGCCCUUGGGUUGUAAAGCUCUUUCGUCGGGGAAGAAAAUGACUGUACCCGAAUAAGAAGGUCCGGCUAACUUCGUGCCAGCAGCCGCGGUAAUACGAAGGGACCUAGCGUAGUUCGGAAUUACUGGGCUUAAAGAGUUCGUAGGUGGUUGAAAAAGUUGGUGGUGAAAUCCCAGAGCUUAACUCUGGAACUGCCAUCAAAACUUUUCAGCUAGAGUUUGAUAGAGGAAAGCAGAAUUUCUAGUGUAGAGGUGAAAUUCGUAGAUAUUAGAAAGAAUACCAAUUGCGAAGGCAGCUUUCUGGAUCAUUACUGACACUGAGGAACGAAAGCAUGGGUAGCGAAGAGGAUUAGAUACCCUCGUAGUCCAUGCCGUAAACGAUGUGUGUUAGACGUUGGAAAUUUAUUUUCAGUGUCGCAGCGAAAGCGAUAAACACACCGCCUGGGGAGUACGACCGCAAGGUUAAAACUCAAAUGAAUUGACGGGGACCCGCACAAGUAGUGGAGCAUGUGGUUUAAUUCGAAGAUACGCGCAGAACCUUACCAACACUUGACAUGUUCGUCGCGACUUUAAGAGAUUAAAGUUUUCGGUUCGGCCGGACGAAACACAGGUGCUGCAUGGCUGUCGUCAGCUCGUGUCGUGAGAUGUUGGGUUAAGUCCCGCAACGAGCGCAACCCUCACUUUUAGUUGCCAUCAUUAAGUUGGGCACUCUGAAAGAACUGCCAGUGAUAAGCUGGAGGAAGGUGGGGAUGACGUCAAGUCCUCAUGGCCCUUACGUGUUGGGCUACACACGUGCUACAAUGGUAUCUACAACAGGAAGCAAAACGGCAACGUUAAGCAAAUCCUCAAAAGAUACCUCAGUUCGGAUUGCACUCUGCAACUCGAGUGCAUGAAGCUGGAAUUACUAGUAAUCGUGGAUCAGCGUGCCACGGUGAA
rnacentral:rRNA from 1 species